rnacentral:rRNA from 1 species
AAACUUUCAACAACGGAUCUCUUGGUUCUCGCAUCGAUGAAGAACGCAGCGAAAUGCGAUACGUAAUGUGAAUUGCAGGUUUUCGUGAAUCAUCGAAUCUUUGAACGCAUAUUGCGCUCUCUGGUAUUCCAGAGAGCAUGCCUGUUUGAGCGUCAUUU